rnacentral:rRNA from 4 species
CAGACCUCUAAUCGGAAAAGACUACCCGCUGAGUUUAAGCAUAUCAAUAGCCGGAGGAA